AGUGAACGCUGGCGGCAGGCUUAACACAUGCAAGUCGAACGGCGGCACAGUAAGAGUUUGCUCUUACGGGUGGCGAGUUGUGGAUGGGUGAGGAACACAUCGGUAUCGACUUUUUCGCGGGGGUUAACGUAGGGAAACACACGCUAAUACCGCAUACGAUCUACGGUUGAAAGCAGGGGACCUUCGGACCUUGCGGGAAUGCACGAGUGGAAUUCGGUUUAGCUAGGUGGCGGGGUAAAGGCCCACCAAGGCGAGGGUACGUAGCUGGUCUGAGAGGAUGGUCAGCCACACGAGAACUGAGACAGGGUCCACACUCCGGCAGGGAGCCGCAGUGGAGAAUAUUAGGCGAUGGGGGCGAGCCUGAUACAGCCAUACCGGGUAAGUGAAGAAGGCGUUCGGGUGGUAAAGCCCUUUUGUUGGGAGGGAAGAGCAGCAGGUUCAUCCGCCGCUGUUCUGACGGUACCCAACGAAUAAGCACCGGCUAACUUCGUG
rnacentral:rRNA from 1 species